CUCCGUGUGGGGUUGUGUGUUUUCACUGGGGUGUGCGCAGGUGGUGGGUUUUUGUUGAUGGUGGUUCUGUGGGAACUCAGUGUGUUGGCUGGUGUGGCAGCAAUACGCCUUAUGGGCGUCCAGCCUAUCUAUAUUAGUGAAGAAGAAGAAUGAAGGGAGAGACUGUGCCGGUUCGCUCACCUGCUCCAUUUCUUUGUGUUUUAUUGGCUUUUAAAUUGGUUUUAGUUGUUUCAGCUUGGUGAAGCUUUUAGAGGUUUUUAACAGACGAAGGGACCAGAGUGCUGACUUCCUCUUUGCUACCAAUCUUGUGUGCUUUUCAGUGGACUUUGUGAAUGUUUGGGAGCAUUUCGAUGUCUGUUUUAGUUCAGUUCAGUUCAUUUAUUUAUAAAGCACUUUAAAACACCCAGCACAGGAACAAAGUUCUGUACAGAAAAUACAUUAAAACAAUAGAAUAAACAGAAAGCAGCAAAGAGAAAUAAAUAAAACACAGGAGACAUAAAAUUAAAGCAGCCCUAUAAUAAGAAUAAAAACUAGAUAAAAACAGCAUUGAAACACACAAAAACAGCUAAAAUAAGUCAAAACUAAAAAAAAAAUAGUAACCAACAUCUCACAAGGUGACAAUAGCAAGGGUAAAAGGUGUGUUUUCAAGAGUGACUUAAAAACAGAUAAGGAACUGGCCUGUCUUAUCUCUAAAGGAAGCUCAUUCCACAGUUUAGGAGCUGCUACAGCAAAGGCGCAAUCUCCUCUAAGUUUACGCUCAGUCCUGGGUACAUUCAGGAGUAGCUGAUCAGCAGACCUGAGAGAGCGGGAGGGAGUGUAAGGCUGUAUCAGGUCAGAGAGAUAAGAGGGGGUGAGGCCAUGAAGACCUUUAAAAGCAAACAAAAGAAUUUUAAAAUGAAUCCUAAAAGAAAUGGGCAGCCAGUGAAGUGAAGCUAAAACAGGGGAAAUGUGCUCAAACUUUGGAGUGCCAGUUAAACGACGGGCUGCGGCAUUUUGCACCCUCUGUAGAUGACUAAUAUGAGAUGCACUGACCCCAAUGUAGAGUGCUUUACAGUAAUCCAGCCGAGUGGUAACAAAGGCGUGGAUCACUGUCUCAAAUUGCUGCCGUGAAAGAAUUGGCUUUAUUUUUACCAGCUGCCUGAGGUGAAAGAAGCUAGAUUUUACCACCGCCAUAAUCUGAUGUUCAAACUUCAGAUCACAGUCCACUUUGACCCCCAGGUUGGUGACAGUUGGCUUAACAAACUGGGCCAGGGAAUCAAUAUACACAUUGGGGGUCUCAGUAGGACAACCAAAAAUCAUCACCUCAGUCUUUUUAUCAUUGAAUUUUAAAAAGUUCACAGACAUCCAAGCCUUUAUGUCGUCAAGACACUGAAGUAAUGGCUGUAUGAGGUUUCUGCCUUUUUUCUGAAGAGGGACAUAGAUCUGACAGUCGUCAGCAUACAAGUGGAAAGCAAUGCCAUGCUUACACAGUAUAGACCCGAGAGGAAGAAGAUACAAAGAGAAGAGGAGAGGGCCAAGAACUGAGCCCUGCGGGACACCACACAAGAGAGGAGCGGAGGACAACACAGUCACCGAGUCUGACACAAAAUGCUCGCCCUGACAAGUAGGACCUGAACCACUCCAGAGCUGUGCCGCUAAUGCCCACCCAGUGCUCUAAACGAGAUAAUAAAACGGCAUGAUCCACAGUAUCAAAAGCAGCUGUCAAAUCUAAAAGCACAAGAACAACACAGUCCCCAGCAUCAGUAGCUAAGAAUAUGUCAUUAAAAACUUUUAAAAGAGCUGAUUCGGUGCUAUGAAAGGGUUUAAAACCAGAUUGGAAAACCUCUAAAACAUUUUGCUUUUCCAGGAAGGCCAAUAUUUGGCUAUAAACUACCUUUUCAAGAAUGUUAUAAAGAAAAGGUAGUAUGAAGAUAGGCCUGUAUUUCGCAAGAUCCUGUGGAUCAAGAGCAGGUUUUUUUAAUCAGAGGUUUGACUACUGCAUGUUUAAAAUCUUUAGGGACAAUGCCUGACAUCAGACUAUGGUUUACCAGCUCAAGAACCAAAGGACCAACUGUAGGUAACACCUCUUUUAAAAGUCGAGGAGGAACAGCAUCAUUUGGAGGCCCAGCAGGCUUAAGACGACCAACAGUCUCCGUUAUAAUGGACAGGGUCACUGGCUCAAACCUGCCAAAGACAGCAGAGCAGGAAACAAAGACCGAGGGGUCAUGAGCACAAAGACAGAUUUGAGCCCUUGUUGAGGAAACCUUCUCAAUAAAAAAGUGUAAAAAAAUUUCACAGGCUUCAGAUGAGGGCUCGAUACAGUGAGUGAACGGUGCACUAAGAACAGAGUUAAUAGUAUUAAAUAAGACACGCGGGUUGUGGCAGUUAGUCAAAAUAAUGUCAGAUAAGUGUUUUCUUCACUCCCAUCAGAACUUAUCGUUUCUCCGGAUUUGCUGUUUCUGAACAACAUUCCACACUACACCAUUCUCCGUCUCACUUCACCUUAGUUACACCAUACAUUUAUUGUUAAAGUUAGUCUAGUUUUAAUUUGUUUAGUAAUAAAUCUUUAAACUUUUAAAACUUGACUCUCUCUUCUGUUGUCUCUGAGUUAAUACAAAGUGGUUACAUAAUCCCUGCAAUAAAAAGUUCCAAUCUUCUGGUUAAAAGUACCCAAAGAGCCAUAAGAAUGAUUUCAUAUUCACUAUGGAAUCUCAUGUCUUAUGGUUCAUUAAAUAGGUAAAUUAAACCCUUUACAUAUAUUUCCCAGAAUGCAACAGUUUAACGACGUCAUCACAUUUGGUUGUGUUUCGUUUCACACCUCAAUUUCUGUACCACCACCAUUAAAACAGGAAAACCCAGCGCAGGGACUUAUUGACUGAUAACCAUGGUGUGAAAUGCUGUGGUUAAUCUGCCGAUAAGACAUAAACAGAUGCAGCAUGGCUACGUUAGCGUCGCAGGUCAGAACACUAUGGCCGUGUUCGAGAUGAGCCAGUUCUGCGCAGAUUAGACCACCGGUGAUCGGCGCGCAUUGCUUGCCAGUUAGAUUUGUGUCCGACUUGACGCCGACUUGCUCUGACGUCAUGCAUACGUAGGCAACGAUAACUUUGUGAGAUCAAGGCGGUUGCAGAUUUUAGAGCAAGGUGCUGCAGUGGCUCUCUACCAGCUGCAAAACCUAGAGGAUGACGGGAAACGCCUGGCUCUCACCUGAUCUAAGAUCUGAUUGGUUCACAUUCUGAUCCAAACAUCCGGUGGUAGAAUGUGAAAUGUUAGUUGGUCACAUGUAUUCUGUAAAUUAUGUUAUGUUGAUGAUAACUAUAUAGGCCAUGAAGAUUUGUGUUCUUUUGUCACAUUUCCUAUGAGCACACUAAAAUUACAGCUGAUAACCUUUACUUAUUAUUACAGUCAUAUCUUCAUAUACACAUGUCUACACUAUAUGAUAUCCAUAAGCGUGUGAGGAUGUGUUUCAGCUGCUAACUGGCACCAGAAUUAAAAUUAAACAAGUAUGAACUCUAACGCGAUAUCUUCCUCCAUCAUCAACCGCAAGCUACACAUGUAGGCAAAACUGUUCGACUUAAACGCCGGCUUUCAGCCACUCCCCCUGCUGCGUCCGUCUGCUCUCGUCUGUUUUCCAGGCGAGGCGCUGCUCAACUCGAACACGGCCUAUCAUUCGUCUCCGCAUGCCGACCUGCAAGGACUCAGAAGCGGAUGGAUCAAGGUAAGUUUAACGCUCUUGUUCUAUUGGAUUCACAUGCAGUUUGAACAUUCAACAGUCAUUGUUUUCAGUGAGCAGCGGUCUGUGAAGCAAAGUUAGCUUUGCACUUAAGCUUAACUUGACGAGGCUGAAGUUAGCUUCUGAUUCGGGAAAUGGCUAAAGGGCAAAUGUUCUCUACUCUGGCCAUCUUUAAUCUUCUCUAUCUUAAAAACUACAAUAAAUAGACAUUUCAAACCUUAAGGUUGAGCAGAAAGGCGGUUAGCUGCGUUCCAACAACUAAUCUUUGUUUAAAUUAAACCUAGUUGGUGCAAUGCUAUCUCAAAACCCUUUCUCUAUGGUGUUACUAAGCUAGACCAGUGAGACACAGCACUUACAGAAUAUUAUAUUAUAUAUAUAUUCUGUACAGGUACAGAAUAUUUGUGGUUUGGUGACUGGUUUGUCAGCCAUGCUAUGAAGGAAUAAUAAAGAAAACCAAGAUUUAAUACAAAACACACCUGAUAAAAAUAUACCAUCUGCCUCAUCAUUACAAAAAUGUUGUUUCUGCAGGAUCAUCCAUUGCUAUAAAAUUGGAGCACCUACACUUUUCACUCAUCAUUCAUGUUACUCCUGUUGCAGACUUCUGUUGGCUGCUCUACAUUUUAAUAGCAAGGACAACAGGGAGGUGGCCGGAACCAGUGACGGUGGAGUGUUACGCUUCCUGAGGUUAAGAAAAGAAGUGUGGGUGUCAAGGAAAAGCCAUCCUAUAAAGGAUGGUGGCUCCUGAAUGAAACUGAACUUUCAGCUCCAUGUGCAGAGAUCCAAGUUAUGUUGGGACACGUAGCAGCAUCUCCGAAGACACAUCAAAAGUGAAAAAGGAUCAGAAAGCCAGGAAAAAAAUGAAGCACUCUCACACUCCACUGCAGUGUGUGUUUAUUGCUCUACUGCCUAGAGACCUUCCUGGCCAACAUGUGCACAUCCAGUUUUGGAAGAGACUGACACUUUGCUGAUCUGCACCAAGGAUCUUGUUUUGUGGUCUAAAGGUGGGAAAUAAAUAAGCCCCCAUGUCACAAUUAACUCUUAUGACAACCCAUCCAGCACAUGAGUGGAGCUGUAAAAUGUAAAAUGUACUGUAGCCUCUCAAGUUGCAUACUAAAAAUACUGGAGGUUUCAGUCAGGACCUGAUUGUUUAUUUUUUUUGUUUUGUUCUUUGGGAGAACUCAAGCUGUGAACUAAUGCUAAAUAAAUAAAUUGAAUUAAGUGAUGAGUAAACUAAUUCUUGUUUCUGGUUAGACCUGCAAAGCUGAGUCUAUGUGAACAUCACAUCACUUAUGACACAUCUGGGUAGCCUGUGUGUUUUCUGUGCUCAAGUGACCAUUUUUAUUGACCUCCUGUGCUGGCAGUCUGCUUUGGAUAAACUGACCCAACACACCCACUGCUGACUAAUUGGCCAGCUGAAAUUCACACCUACCAUAAAGGGGAGCCUCUGUUUACCUUUGUUUACGAAUUAGGGACGACACCACAAACGUUACAUGUCUUUAGACACAUGGCCACAAUCUUACGCCAGAUUGCAAGCUCCUUGCAAAAUUUCUUCAAAAAAUUUCUAGUGCUGAACAGCCAGGGCGCUUACUGUUAUGCAAUGACCAAAUGGUCUCUUUAUUAUUAGGGUUCCAAGCCCAACGGGCAGGGAACCCUAUUGUUUUUAAACGGAUUUUUCAUUAUUAUUUAUUAAUUAUUAUUAUUUAUUAUUAUUCUUCUCUGCUAAUACUGUAUGGGCGCAGGAGCCUGAGAUUGCCAGGGAAAAUCUGACAUGGCAGUCUGAUAGAAAAUUGUGACCACUACUCAGAUUAGAAAAUUUGGACCCCGAGUCACCUAGUUGGCGCUAUUGCGGAGGUGAAUGCAUUUCACCUACUAGCUCCCAAACCAUAGGUCGUACAGUCAAAAACUUUAUAUGUACAUGAUCCUUGGUUGAUUCUGCAUCUUUUAUGUAUGGCCACGCCCAUUUCUGCCUAACUAGAUUUUUUGCUAGAUCGCAAAAAACACAAAACUUACUUUUAAAUGCCAUUCCGUCAUUUUUCGUCAAAUCAACUUCACACUUUGCACAUAUGAUCUACAGACUAAGCUAAGUCGUUGUGAUGAAGAAAAAUGUGGAAUUACUGAAAAUUGGGCUAAUGACCCCAUGUCAAAUUCAGUGCCCUAGCUAGCACAUGUCCUAAUUGAUGAUAUCUUCACCAUUUUUCAAGAUAAAAUGAUGAGACCCUAGAAGCUAACAAAGUGUGAGCGGUAAGGCCUAUCUACCAAAUUUUGUUUGGAUUCACCAAUAGGGGGCGCUAAAGAGUCAAAAAAUUUGUUUCAGCAAAACGGCUGGAUGGAUUUCCACAGAACCUGGCAGAUAUGUUUAUCAUCAGACCCUUAACUAUAUUUAGAAAAUAAUUAAAAAGUGGGCGUGGCUCAUAGGCUUUAAAAUUUUUCGCCCUUUUACUCAUGAAAAAUAUAUAUUCUGUACAGAAAGUUACAAAUCAUAUCAGUCAUAGGGACAUCUACAAUCACAGAAAAAAAAUUGAAUUUUGUCCAAUAGGUGGCGCUGUUGUAGCCAAAAAAUGUUUUUGGCAUGUUUCUCCUCAAUUUUUUAGUAAAAAAAUCAAAUGAUCUCAUCCAGUAUGUUCAUUGAGUCUGUCAAAUUUAGAUUUAAAAAAAUGUUUUAAACUUAUGCAAAUUAGUAGAAAUUUGCAUAGUAAUUCAAACAUACUUUCGUUAACUCCUCCCGGCCAUCAAACACAAUCAAAUCAAAACAUGGCCUGACAAGAGAGGAGGAGCGGCUGACCAAACGAUGUGAACGGAUUUUGGAUAAUUUGCUUAUUUUUCGAAAUAUGACUUUUUAAUAUUUUUGGGGGGGAAUGAAAAAGUUUUUUUAGCAUAACUUCAAAAGAUUUUGAAAUUUUUCAGGAAGAAAUUAUACUGCUGAACCGGCUAAAUGGAUCUGCACGAAACUUAGUGGUUGUCAUCAUUAUAGAGUCUUAAGACUACUUUAUCAAUAUGGUAAUGAUUGAUUAAAGUGGGCGUGGUUUAUGAUCAUUUAAAAUUUCAAAUUUGAAAAAUUUCCUAAAAAUCAUUAUUUGCAUGUAAGAGGCUAAGAUUUUCAGGUUGUGUUAACUGGGUAGGAUGGAGCUUAUGUCACGAAAAUCGCAGCUCCACGAAGAGGUUUGUGCUUUAUAUUUACGAAAAUACAUUUUUAGACUAGCAGUUGUAGCGCAAAUUCUGUUAUCACAACCUUCUUGAAAUUUGACACAAAGUUCACUCUUAGGUGGUUUGAUUUGAGCACCCCCUUGUGUUUAAUUAUGGGACUUAUUUUUGGUGACUGCCACUAAUGCAAAUAUUAUUUUAUUGUAAGAAAAGUUUAACGUUUAUUAUCCCUACACAAAUAUAAGAAGAAUUCUCACAUCACAGAGGCAAUCUGGGAAUAUUUUGAGAUUUUUGUACAAAAGCAUAGAUUUUUAAUGAAUUUUUAACUUUUUGCCAGUUUUUCUGUACAGUUGGACAAAAACGUGAAUAAAUUUUGUUAGAAGGUUUUUUAGGUAUACAUUAAAUAUAAACCAUUUAUAACAUUCCACAUGUAUCUAAGAUCUGAGAUUAUUCUACUAAUUUUAGAAAGUAGCACUUUUUUUAUGAAUAUUUUAAUUUUGGCUGUGACCCUUAUAAUUAUAUCUACCAAUUUUUAUUUAAUAAAGCUUUGAAUUUACUGAUUUAAAAACAACAGCAUAUUAUUCCGCAUCUUAACAUUGCCAUGUGAGAAUAUUUUGGUAAUUUUAUGAUGAUUUAUGGAUUUUUCAGCAUUUUUUUAAACGAUUUGAUCAGUGAGUCACAAAAUGAAACAGUUUUUGUGGAAAAUCUAUUAAAUCUAGAGACAUUAUCAAGUAUUUAUGUUAUUUGUAGUAUUCGGUAGAUGUAUAGAUUAUUGUCUGACAAUAUUUAGAUCAAAUAUGGAUUUUAUAAUGAAGUUUUUGUUUCAGUCCGAUUCAUUGUACAUCUCAAAUAUAUUUAUUUUUCGAAAAAGCAUUUAAUUUAGAAUCGAUAAUAUGAUAAAACAUGAUUUCACAUGACUUCACUCAUUAAAUCUUCACGUUAGUUAAACAGGAAAUGGUGGAAUUCCAUUGUAAUCACGAUUGAGAAGUCAGCCAUGCCUGUGAAAGAUGUGUAUAGGCUGUGCAAGAGGUUUAAUGACGUAUCCUGAGUGUUACUUUCCCUGCGCCGGCUGAAGUGAGCUGAUGGGGCGCCGGUGGGAGAACGUGUUUUUGGGGCGGGACCGCGUGAGGAAUGGCGAAGGUGAGGGUGGGGCCGGGUGGGCGACUGGCACUGGAUGGCUUGGAACCCGUUGAUAACUGCUUGCAGUUCUAGUUAUGAUUACUAUUAUUAUUAUUAGGGGCCUGCCGAACAGGUCAGGCCCAUGUGGUCAUUUGUUGAAAUAACUCUAGCUUUGCCCCCUUAUAGAUGGUUUCCUGUAAAUAAAACAUGCAAUAACUGAUUCUCACAAAACUACACAUAAAUGAUCAUUGUAAACAUAAGAACAACUCAUUGGGACUUUAUUUUAUUUAAAGAUGGCGCCCCUAGAUUGACUCUUUCUCCCGGAGGCCUCCAGAUGACCUGGAUCAUUGACCUGUAGAUCCACCCCAGAACACCUGAACUGGGCCAAAGUUAGGACCUACCAUACCAUACCAGGUUUAUUUAUAAAGCACAUUUAAAAACAGCAUGACAGCUGACCAAAGUGAUGUACAGUAGUAAGAAAAAGAAAAAACCCCAAGAUAAAAAUCAUAUAGGAGAUGGCUACAUCGUAGCUCAUCCCCACCAGUGUGUGAAUGUGUGUGUGUGAAUGGGUGAAUGACUGAUUGUGUUGUAAAGCGCCUUGAGGGGUUCCAUGACUCUUGAAGGCACUAGAUCAAAUACAGGCCAUUUACCAUUUAAAAGGAAUAACCUAAAAAUUUAAAAGAAACAUACAAGAGUAAAAAAAAAGUCACAAUAAAAACAUAAAAACAAUAAAAGCUUGGUCAUUGAUCAAAAGCUAAUUGAUAGAAGUAGGCCUUCAGUGCGACUUGAAUCGACCCAGUUCUGGGGCCUGUCAAACACUAAGGGGAAGAGCAUUCCAAAGUUUAGGAGCAGGGAGCGCAAAGGCCCGCUCCCCAUGAGAUUUAUACCUCAUUUUUGGGAUGCACAAAAGCAAGUGAUCUGCUGAUCUCAGGUUUCUGGUUGGAGCAUAAGGCUUAAGCAGUUCAGACAGAUAAGCCGGGGCUUGACCAUUCAGGAUGUUGUAAACAAAGGUCAAAACCUUAAACUGGAUGCAAUAUUUACUGUAACUGGCAGCCAGUGCAAGCAUGCAAGGACAGGUGAAAUGUGACCUUCGUCUAGAAGUGUUUGUCAGGCAUCUAGCCGCCGCAUUCUGUACUCUCUGAAGACGCUCGAUUGCUGAGACACUGACACCAAUAAGUACUGAGUUGGCAUAGUCCAAACGUGAGGUGACAAAGGCGUGAACAACAGACUCCAGCUGUGGUCGUUUGACUAUUGACUUUAAACGUGAGAUGCACCGUAGUUGAAAAACAAGACCUGACUGUAGAGUUAAUUUGUGAACUCAUUGACAGAUCAGAGUCAAGUUUCACUCCCAGACUGGUUACACAAGAUUUGAAAUUUAAAAACUGUAGAGUGAAGUCACCAGGUGCAUGCUUUGGAGGACCUGGGCUCUGGGUGUCCUCCAGAGGUCUUCAAUUCAAUUCAAGUUUAUUUUCUUCAACAGACCCGGAUUGUGGCCUUGACCUUUAAAUCCACCCCAGAAAAACGGACCUUGGCCAAAAUCAGGAUCUGUAAUCUGGGGGUCCUCCAGAAGCCUAUGGAAGCCUCGAACUAUGGUCCUGACUUGUAGAUCCACCCCUUAACACCCAGAUUGGGCAAAAAAAUGGACCUGGGGUCUAGAAAUCCUCCAGACACCUUCAAAAGACCCAGAUAGUGGUCGUGACCUGUAGAUCCACGCCUGAACACCCAAUCUUGGUCAAAAUCAGGACCUGGCCUCUGGGGGUCUUUAAGAGGCCUCCAGAAGUCCCAGAUCUUGGUCUUGAAUUAUAGAUCCCCUUCUGAAUGCCCAACCUGGGCCAAAUUUGGAAUCUGUGAUCUGGGAGUCCUCCAGAAGCCUCUGGUUGUGGUCAUGACCUGUAGAUCCACCCCUGAACAUCCAACCUGGGCCAAAAUCUGGACCUGGGUUCUGGGGGUCCUCUAGAGCAGUGGUCCUCAAUAGGCAGCCGCGCGGUGUUCGGGGGCCCCUCUUUGUGAAUUUACUUACUGGAAUGGAAGCCUCGGACUAUGGUCCUGACUUGUAGAUCCACCCCUUAACACCCAGAUUGGGCAAAAAAAUGGACCUGGGGUCUAGAAAUCCUCCAGACACCUUCAAAAGACCCAGAUAGUGGUCGUGACCUGUAGAUUCACGCCUGAACACCCAAUCUUGGUCAAAAUCAGGACCUGGCCUCUGGGGGUCUUUAAGAGGCCUCCAGAAGUCCCAGAUCUUGGUCUUGAAUUAUAGAUCCCCUUCUGAAUGCCCAACCUGGGCCAAAUUUGGAAUCUGUGAUCUGGGAGUCCUCCAGAAGCCUCUGGUUGUGGUCAUGACCUGUAGAUCCACCCCUGAACAUCCAACCUGGGCCAAAAUCUGGACCUGGGUUCUGGGGGUCCUCUAGAGCAGUGUUCCUCAAUAGGCAGCCGCGCGGUGUUCGGAGGCCCCCCUUUGUGAAUUUACUUACUGGAAUGGAAGCUUCGGACUAUGGUCCUGACUUGUAGAUCCACCCCUUAACACCCAGGUUGGGCAAAAAAAUGGACCUGGGGUCUAGAAAUCCUCCAGACACCUUCAAAUGACCCAGAUAGUGGUCGUGACCUGUAGAUCCACGCCUGAACACCCAAUCUUUGUCACAAUCAGGACCUGGCCUCUGGGGGUCUUUAAGAGGCCUCCAGAAGUCCCAGAUCUUGGUCUUGAAUUAUAGAUCCCCUUCUGAAUGCCCAACCUGGGCCAAACCUGGGAGUCCUCCAGAAGCCUUUGGUUGUGGUCUUGACCUGUAGAUCCACCCCUGAACAUCCAACCUGGGCCAAAAUCUGGACCUGGGUUCUGGGGGUCCUCUAGAGCAGUGGUCCUCAAUAGGCAGCCAUGCGGUGUUCGGGGGCCCCUCUUUGCGAAUUUAAUUACUUGAGCAUUUUGAGUUGUUAUGGCAACAUAAUUUGAGACAAACAUACUAAAUUUUUAUGGCUCAAACAUCUCGAAUGAAAAUGUCUACCCCCACAAAUCUUACAUCAAAUCGACCGGCUCGGUCGGGGGAAGUGUGCUUUUACUUUUUUUUAAGCAUUUUGAGUUGCCAUGGCAAUGUAUUUGCAGAAAAACUACUAUUUUAUAUCUUCAGGGAAUGCACUUGACUUCUGUAUACUCUUUGAAGCUGCCCAUUUGAUCACGGGAUCAUGUGUUGCAUGGGAGCUGGAGUCUAUUUUUCUGUCCCUUGGGUCUGUUUAUGAGCUGAUAUUGGAGCAAAUGUAUUUCUUUGCUUCGCUCUGCCUCCAACAUGCCUCCAUCUAAAAGGCUAGGUUAUCCAGAGUUAUCUCGGUAGUUAUGCUGCAAUAGGCUUAGACUGUUGGAGGAUACACUGACCACUUUCCACACUCGACUACUUUCUUCUACAAUCUGCUCUUUAACUGUAUUAUUUUUUGCUAUUUCAGCUGUUAACUUUAUUUUUUCUCUCUAAGUGUUUUUCUCCCCAAAAGAAGCUACAAUGACGUUCUGCUGAGCUGUGGUGGCUUCAUGGAGGGGGCCAUCGUCUAGCACACUGCUGCUAACCACUUAAACAUUCUCCUUCUCCUGAUAAUAACUUUUUACUCUCUUUGACGUUGAAUUAUAGAUCCACUAGAAAAAAUACAAUAAAGUUUAUCUCUCACCAAAUAGAAUAUUUACUAAGAAAUCACAAUGUAACCAUAGAAACACUACUUGGUGUGUGUGUGUUCUGUGCGCGCGUGUGUGUGUGUGUGUGUGUGUGUGUGUGUGUGUGUGUGUGUGUGUGUGUGAGUUUUCCUCUCCACUGUCGCUGCAUGCUUGCUUAGUAUGAGGAUUGCUGUAAAGACUCUGACACUAGUCAGUGACGAUGCAAUUUGCUGGGUUCCUUAUACAGGAAACUUUUUUCUGAUUGGCUUAAUGAACUGGGAUCUCAUUUAUCAAACAUGGCGUAGAAUCCUUACUAAAACCGUACUUAAGCUCAGCAAUAAAAAUUUACUUACGCCAAGCAGGUGUGUGAUCUAUCAAUUAUGGAGUACGCACAGCUGCACGCAAUCUCCGCUUCAUAAAUCAGAGACUAACAAGAAUGGUUCUCAGCUGCUUUUUAGUCACAUUCCGCCCUCACCACGCCCACUUACUGCCAUAAAUAGUCAAUGCAAAGUGCCUUGUGGACGUCAUGCAUACACAUAAGCCGGCUAGGUUCAAGGUUCAAGGUUGUCUUUAUUAAUCCCCAAGGGGGAAAUUGAAUUGCCUUGGACAAGUAAACACAACAUGCACAUCCACACAAUAAAACAUUCACUGGUCCUGAUAAAAUAUAAAAAUAUCAAAUAUACAAUCAUACGAAAUGGUCAUUGUAAAAACGCACUGCAGCUGGAAUAAAAAAGUUCCUAAAACGUUCAGUGGAACACCGGGGCAUUAACAUUCGCCCACUGAAAGAGCUCCCGAGAUCCUUAAAAAUGUGGUGAAGGGGGUGAUCCUCCAGAGUCAUAACUGUCUUAAGUUUACGCUUCAUCCUUUUGUAGAUGAUCAUGUCAAAUGAGUCCAAGCGUUGCCCAACCACUGAGCCAGAUUUCUUGAUCAUUUUGUUGAUCCUGUUUUUGUCCUCAGCAGUGAGGCUCCUGCCCCAACACAACACAGCAUAAAACAACACACUGGCCAUAAUCCCCUGAUAAGACACAUUCAAGAGCCUUCUACUUAUAUCAAAAGAUCUUAGCUUCCUAAGAAAAAACAAUCUGGACUGGGCCUUUUUAACAACAGCGUCACUGUUCCUUUUCCAGUUUAACUUAUCGUCGAGGUACACCCCGAGAUAUUUAUAUGUCUCCACAGUUUCUACAGGUUGGCCUUUGAUGACCACUGGAGAGAAUGUUUGUUUUUUCUUUCUAAAAUCAAUUACCAGCUCCUGUGUUUUGCCAACAUUGAGCUGUAGAAAAUUGCAGCGCUCUGCCAAUGACAUGGCGACUGUAGAACAAGACAGAUCAAGGAAGCGCUAUUUCACAGAAGCAGAAGUUGAGGUACCUGUGGGUGAGGUGGAGAAAUGAAAGGAAGUGCUUUUGCAAAACAAAUAAGAGAAAAUCCACGGAGUGGUACAGCGUUGCUGAAGCCAUCAAUGCUGAGUUCUUCAGAGAGAUCUGUGGCGGAUAUAAAAAAAAAAGAUCCAAUCAGGAUUCGAUCCCCAGACUCCCAGGUGAAAGUCACGCCAGCUAACCAGUCACCCAAACAGAGAUCUCCCCUGUCCAAGUAGCCAGGGUGCAUCAUCAAUCGGGUCACAGUGACAGGACACACACUGUCACAGACGCAUGAUGUUCUGUCUCAAUCUGUUCCCCUGCUGUUAUUCUGCAUUCCGUAUUCUACGCUUCAGUCUGUGUGUGUGUGCACGUGUGUGUGUGUGUGUGGGGGGGGGG